GUACACACCGCCCGUCACACCAUGGGAGUCGGGAACGCCCGAAGUCGGUGCCCCAACCGUAAGGAGGGAGCCGCCGAAGGCGGGCCCGGCGACUGGGGUGAAGUCGUAACAAGGUACC
rnacentral:rRNA from 1 species